UUUCCAAUUCAUAAAUCCUCAGUAAACCCAGGAUGAAGCGUGGAUAAAUCUUACUCAAGCUUUUAAUCAGGCUCAGCGUAUAAAUAGAGAGGUCCCUUUGAUCCAUUAAGGUUUGAGCCGACGCGAUUCUCUUACCUCGCCAUCAUGUACGGAAACGAAUGCCCUAGAAGCUAGAAAAGGGUUCUUCUCUUUUCUUCUUCUCCUUCACUCUUCUGCUCUAACACAGCACAAGAACGAGACGCUUCGUCAGCUCCAUUUCUUCGGCUUUUCUCAUCAGACAUGGGUGACAUACAAGGUAUCGCACAAGGGAUGCAUGAAUUUAAAAUUGAAGCGAUCUCAUGCACUUUUCCUCAGGAAAUCAUACAAGAGAUCCUACUUAGGCUACCUGUCAAAUCUGUUAUCAAAUGCACCUCAGUGUGCAAGACAUGGAGGUCCAUGAUCAUAAACCAAAGCUUUAUUCGCACCCACCUCAGCCCAAUAGUCCAUGUUAAUAACCUGAACGACAGUCACCUCUUCCUAAUCCACAGGGU